rnacentral:rRNA from 1 species
AGAUUGAACGCUGGCGGCAUGCCUAACACAUGCAAGUCGAACGGGAGUAGCAAUACUCUAGUGGCGGACGGGUGAGGAAUACGUAGGAAUUUGCCCUUAAGUGGGGGAUAACCCGGGGAAACCCGGAUUAAUACCGCAUGACCUCGAAAGAGCAAAGUGGGGGAUCGCAAGACCUCACGCUUUUGGAGAAGCCUACGUCGGAUUAGCUAGUUGGUGAGGUAAUGGCUCACCAAGGCGACGAUCCGUAACUGGUCUGAGAGGAUGAUCAGUCACACCGGAACUGAGACACGGUCCGGACUCCUACGGGAGGCAGCAGUGGGGAAUAGUUGGACAAGUGGGCGCAAGCCUGAUCCAGCAAUGCCGCGUGUGUGAAGAAGGCCUUCGGGUUGUAAAGCGUACUUUAACGGUUAGGAAAGAAAAACUCGACUACGUAACACAGUGAGUCUUGACGUACGACAGAA